AGAGAUUAUAUCUGGUAGUUCCGUAGUUGGGGUAUCCAAUCCAAGGAGCCGAAGGUUGAAGAAAGACCAGCAACGAGAAUCUCUGAAGUUGGUUUGACCAAAAUCACCCGCGACGAUGCCGACGUUGACGAAGCUGUACACAAUGCAAGAAGCCUCGCAGCACAACACCAAAGACAACUGCUGGGUCGUCAUCGAUGGCAAGGAGGAUUCAAUGUGUCCUUAAUCUUUAGGUCAUAAAAAAGUCAAAGACUGAGACUUUGGAUUACUACCUGCAAAACCCAUAUUCUAUUUUCAUUUUGUUUACUAUUUACUGCUGUAAUUCCUCUGCGUUUCUCAGUUUCUAGGUCAAGUUUCCUCCUUUCCAAUCAUAAAUUUUGACCUAUAGAUAAUACGAUUUGGUUGAAUUGUCGUCGCGAGUAAUCUUUAUGUGUGUGUGGCUUUGCUAUUCAUAAUCUUGUUUAAAUUACAUAUGAAUAGUACUUAUGGAAUUUGAUCGCGAUUCGUGAGGCGUGUUGUGUUCUGUUAAAAUUAUUACCGGCUUUGGUACUCGAGAAUUGGCGUAAUCAAUUUUCUUUUCCAUCAUUUCAACUGGUUGCUGGUUUAAGUGCACGUCUUGCUGUAUUCGUGUUGCUUGCAGCCUUACUGUUGUUGUGGC
rnacentral:sRNA from 1 species